rnacentral:rRNA from 1 species
CAGAACUAACGCUGGCGGCGUGCUUAACACAUGCAAGUCGGAUGCGAACGGCGCUUUCGGGCGUUGAGUAGCAUGGCAGACGGGUGAGGAGCGCGUAUCUGACUGGACUCAGGCUGGGGGAUAGUCCCUCGAAAGGGGGUUGAAUACCGCAUGUGCUCGGUGCUGUGAGGGCAUCGAGGAAAGUUGGCCUCUGCGGGCACGCUGAUGGCCUGAGACAGGGAUGCGUCCUAUUAGCUAGCUGGUGGGGUAAGGGCCUACCAGGGCGACGAUGGGUAGCUGGUCUGAGAGGAUGAUCAGCCACACUGGGACUGCGACACGGCCCAGACUCCUACGGGAGGCAGCAGUGGGGAAUUUUGCGCAAUGGGCGCAAGCCUGACGCAGCAACGCCGCGUGCAUGACGACGCCUUUCGAGGUGUAAAGUGCUGUCGACCGGGACGAAGGGGCGAGGGUGAACAGCUUUCGCGCAUGACGGUACCGGUGGAGGAAGCCCCGGCUAACUCCGUGCCAGCAGCCGCGGUAAGACGGAGGGGGCGAGCGUUGUUCGGAAUUACUGGGCGUAAAGCGCGCGUAGGCGGUGCAGCAAGUGGUGCGUGAAAGCCCUCGGCUUAACCGGGGACGGGCGUGCCAAACUGUUGGACUGGAGUGCCGGAGGGGGAGGCGGAAUUCCUGGUGGGGCGGUGAAAUGCGUAGAGAUCAGGAAGAACGUCGGUGGCGAAGGCGGCCUCCUGGACGGACACUGACGCUGAGGUGCGACAGCGUGGGGAGCGAACGGGAUUAGAUACCCCGGUAGUCCACGCCGUAAACGAUGGGUACUAGGUGUGGGGCUUGUGAUGAGGCCCGUGCCGGAGCUAACGCAGUAAGUACCCCGNCUGGGGAGUACGG